rnacentral:snRNA from 20 species
GUCUUUAUGCAGGGGCAUUACGUGUAUCAGUGAGGAUUCGUCCGAGAUCAUGUUUUUGCUGGUUGAAAACUUAACCUGACAACUUCUUGGGAUUCUAUAACCAUGUGUUUGUGAAUGUCAAGGGAAUUUUUGGAAACCUUUUUUUAUUUUAUUCAAAUGA